rnacentral:rRNA from 1 species
AUUGAACGCUGGCGGCAUGCCUUACACAUGCAAGUCGAACGGCAGCACGGGUGCUUGCACCUGGUGGCGAGUGGCGAACGGGUGAGUAAUACAUCGGAACAUGUCCUGUAGUGGGGGAUAGCCCGGCGAAAGCCGGAUUAAUACCGCAUACGAUCCACGGAUGAAAGCGGGGGACCUUCGGGCCUCGCGCUAUAGGGUUGGCCGAUGGCUGAUUAGCUAGUUGGUGGGGUAAAGGCCUACCAAGGCGACGAUCAGUAGCUGGUCUGAGAGGACGACCAGCCACACUGGGACUGAGACACGGCCCAGACUCCUACGGGAGGCAGCAGCGGGGAAUUUUGGACAAUGGGCGAAAGCCUGAUCCAGCAAUGCCGCGUGUGUGAAGAAGGCCUUCGGGUUGUAAAGCACUUUUGUCCGGAAAGAAAUCCUUGACUCUAAUACAGUCGGGGGAUGACGGUACCGGAAGAAUAAGCACCGGCUAACUACGUG